GUGUGUUUGUGAGACUAUUUCUGUUUCCUUUUUAUUCUCUGAUGAGAAACUCUGUCUGCCAGGAACUCAAGGCUGUUAGACACUCUGUCUGCCAGGAACUCAAGAUUGUUAGACACUCUGUCUGCCAGGAAUUCAAGAUUGUUAGACACUCUGUCUGCCAGGAACUCAAGAUUGUUAGACACUCUGUCUGCCAGGAACUCAAGGCUGUUAGACACUCUGUCUGCCAAGAACUCAAGGUUGUUAGACACUCUGUCUGCCAGGAACUCAAGGUUGUUAGACACUCUGUCUGCCAGGAACUCAAGGCUGUUAGACACUCUGUCUGCCAG
ensembl:lncRNA